UAGGUUGAGUGUGUUAAUAUUUGCAAAUGUUGUAUCCUCCUGUUGGAUUGAUCCCUUCAUCAUUAUGAAAUGCCCC